GAUGAAGAACGUAGCGAAAGGCGAUAAGUAAUGUGAAUUGCAGAAUUCAGUGAAUCAUCGAAUCUUUGAACGCACAUUGCGCCCGCCAGUAUUCUGGCGGGCAUGCCUGUUCGAGCGUCAUUACAACCCUCAGGCCCCCGGGCCUGGCGUUGGGGAUCGGCGGAGCCCCCCGUGGGCACACGCCGUCCCCCAAAUACAGUGGCGGUCCCGCCGCAGCUUCCAUCGCGUAGUAGCUAACACCUCGCGACUGGAGAGCGGCGCGGCCACGCCGUAAAACACCCAACUCUUCUGAAGUUGACCUCGAAUCAGGUAGGAAUACCCGCUGAACUUAAGCAUAUCAAUAAGCGGAGGA
rnacentral:misc_RNA from 1 species